AGCAGCCGCGGUAAUUCCAGCUCCAAUAGCGUAUAUUAAAGUUGUUGCAGUUAAAAAGCUCGUAGUUGAAUUUCGGGAUUAAUUUAUUGGUCGUGCUAUUGUACGUACUGGUAUUAUUGAUUCCUACCUUCUGAAGAACCGUCAUGCCAUUCAGUUGGUGUGGCGGGGAAUCAGGACUGUUACUUUGAAAAAAU
rnacentral:rRNA from 1 species